rnacentral:rRNA from 1 species
CCCUGCUUUUGUGGGGUGCUCGAGUGGCGAACGGGUGAGUAACACGUGAGUAACCUGCCCUUGACUUUGGGAUAACUUCAGGAAACUGGGGCUAAUACCGGAUAGGAGCUCCUGCUGCAUGGUGGGGGUUGGAAAGUUUCGGCGGUUGGGGAUGGACUCGCGGCUUAUCAGCUUGUUGGUGGGGUAGUGGCUUACCAAGGCUUUGACGGGUAGCCGGCCUGAGAGGGUGACCGACCACAUUGGGACUGAGAUACGGCCCAGACUCCUACGGGAGGCAGCAGUGGGGAAUAUUGCACAAUGGGCGGAAGCCUGAUGCAGCAACGCCGCGUGCGGGAUGACGGCCUUCGGGUUGUAAACCGCUUUCGCCUGUGACGAAGCGUGAGUGACGGUAAUGGGUAAAGAAGCACCGGCUAACUACGUGCCAGCAGCCGCGGUGAUACGUAGGGUGCGAGCGUUGUCCGGAUUUAUUGGGCGUAAAGGGCUCGUAGGUGGUUGAUCGCGUCGGAAGUGUAAUCUUGGGGCUUAACCCUGAGCGUGCUUUCGAUACGGGUUGACUUGAGGAAGGUAGGGGAGAAUGGAAUUCCUGGUGGAGCGGUGGAAUGCGCAGAUAUCAGGAGGAACACCAGUGGCGAAGGCGGUUCUCUGGGCCUUUCCUGACGCUGAGGAGCGAAAGCGUGGGGAGCGAACAGGCUUAGAUACCCUGGUAGUCCACGCUGUAAACGGUGGGUACUAGGUGUGGGGUCCAUUCCACGGGUUCCGUGCCGUAGCUAACGCUUUAAGUACCCCGCCUGGGGAGUACGGCCGCAAGGCUAAAACUCAAAGGAAUUGACGGGGCCCCGCACAAGCGGCGGAGCAUGCGGAUUAAUUCGAUGCAACGCGUAGAACCUUACCUGGGUUUGACAUGGAUCGGGAGUGCUCAGAGAUGGGUGUGCCUCUUUUGGGGUCGGUUCACAGGUGGUGCAUGGCUGUCGUCAGCUCGUGUCGUGAGAUGUUGGGUUAAGUCCCGCAACGAGCGCAACCCUUGUUCACUGUUGCCAGCACGUUAUGGUGGGGACUCAGUGGAGACCGCCGGGGUCAAC